rnacentral:rRNA from 1 species
AACGGCGGCCGUAACUAUAACGGUCCUAAGGUAGCGAAAUUCCUUGUCGGGUAAGUUCCGACCCGCACGAAAGGCGUAACGAUUUGGGCACUGUCUCAACGAGAGACUCGGUGAAAUCAUAGUACCUGUGAAGAUGCAGGUUACCCGCGACAGGACGGAAAGACCCCGUGGAGCUUUACUGUAGCCUGAUAUUGAAAUUCGGCACAGCUUGUACAGGAUAGGUAGGAGCCUUUGAAACGUGAGCGCUAGCUUACGUGGAGGCGCUGGUGGG